GUUUAGGGUUAGGGCCAAACCGAAUCUGAGAAUAAAAUAAUAAUAAACCGAUUAGCCCGAACCGAUUAGCCCGAUAACCCGACAGGGCUAGCCCGAAACCGAGUGGGCUGGCCCGAUUGACAUCCCUAAUUUAGCUCCAUCUUCU